CCUACGGGAGGCAGCAGUGAGGAAUAUUGGUCAAUGGGAGAGAUCCUGAACCAGCCAAGCCGCGUGAGGGAAGACGGCCCUAUGGGUUGUAAACCUCUUUUGUCGGAGAACAAAACCCGGGACGUGUCCCGGACUGCGUGUAUCCGAAGAAAAAGCAUCGGCUAACUCCGUGCCAGCAGCCGCGGUAAUACGGGGGAGGCGAGCGUUAUCUGGAUUUAUGGGGUUAAAAGGGUGCAUAGGCGUGCCGUUAAGUCAGCGGUAAAAUGGCGGGGCACAACCCCGUAGAGCCGUUGAAACUGGCAGACUUGAGUGGGCGAGAAGUACGCGGAAUGUGCGGUGUAGCGGUGAAAUGCAUAGAUAUCGCGCAGAACUCCGAUUGCGAAGGCAGCGUACCGGCGCCAGACUGACGCUGAGGCACGAAAGCGUGGGGAUCGAACAGGAUUAGAUACCCCAGUAGUC
rnacentral:rRNA from 1 species